GCUGGAUGUGGUGGCUCACUCCUGUAAUUCCAGCACUUUGGGAGGCUGAGGCAGGUGAAUCGCUUGAACCUGGGAGGCAGAGGUUUCAGUGAGCUGAGAUCCCGCCACUGCACUCCAGCCUAGGAGACAGAGUGAGACUCCGUCUCUAAUAUAAAAAGACAUAGGUUUAUUGAUAUACAUAUAUUUUUGAGAUGGAGUCUCGCUCUGUUUCCCAGGCCAGAGUGCAGUGGUGGGAUCUCGGCUCACUGCAACCUCUGCCUCCCAGGUUCAAGCGAUUCUCCUGCCUCAG
rnacentral:sRNA from 1 species